UACGGAGGGGGCGAGCGUUGUCCGGAUUUAUUGGGCGUAAAGAGCUCGUAGGCGGUUCGGUAAGUCGAAUGUGAAAUCUCCACGCUCAACGUGGAGGGGUCAUUCGAAACUGCCGUGACUUGAGUACGGUAGGGGAGUGUGGAAUUCCCGGUGUAGCGGUGAAAUGCGCAGAGAUCGGGAGGAACACCCGUAGCGAAGGCGGCACUCUGGGCCGAUACUGACGCUGAGGAGCGAAAGCCAGGGGAGCGAACGGG
rnacentral:rRNA from 1 species